AUUUUCUAAAAGCAUUGAAAUUUUUAUAAAUUAUGAUUGAAUUCAUAACUAUAAAGAGUUAUAGUCUCGUUAUUUAAAAUUUCAAGCAUGGGAAUUAGAAUUAAAGAGUCGGGUAGCUUGAGAAUGCUGCCUUAAUAUAGGUGGUACACCCCAUCUAAAGCUAAAUAUUGUAAAGAGACCGAUAGCAUACAAGUAGUGUGAACGAAAGAUGAAAAGAACUCCUAAACGGAGAAUUAAAAGCGCCUGAACUUGUCUAGGUUUUCGCAUUUCUUUAAUGCGCCCGUCUUGAAACACGGAUUAGGGAGUUUUACUUAAAUACGAGUCUUUAACUUUUAAAGUAAUUUUUUUAAAAAAGGCGAAAAGAAAUUAACUGGUUUUUUUAACAUGGCUAUAGAGUAUUUAAGUCAAAACCCGAAUGGAGGUGAACUAUUCCUGCAAAGAUUGAAGUCAGGGGAAACUCUGAUGGAAGAUCGUUGGCGUUAUUGAUGUGCAAAUCAUUUGCUUUAUGUAGGUAUAGGUGCGAAAGACUCAUCGAACCUCCUAAUAGCUGGUUUCCUCCGAAGUUUCCCUCAGGAUAGCUGUAACAUUUUUAAAUAGUUAAGGAUAGUAGAGAAAUGGGUAGAGGUGUAGUGGAACUACGGUUCUGCAACUUAUUUCCAAACUUCGAACGUUCUUGAUAUAAAAAAUUACCUAAUAGGAAUUUUUUAUUUAAAUAUAUGUUAUAAGUGGGCUCUGACCGGUAAGCGGUCAUGGCGAAAAGGGAUGAACCUAACGUAUAAAUAAGGUGCCUAAAUUUACUAACAAUGAAACCAUUAAAAGAGUCCAUGUAUUUAGACAGCGGGUCGGUGCCCCUAAAAGCAGGUAUCCGUUAAUGAGUGUGUUAAAACUCCCCCGCCGAAUACUCUGGCCUUGAAAAUGAAUGGCGCAUAUAGUAAUACCGAUAUUAUACAUUAAAAUUAUUUAAAAAUUUUAAAAGUAGGGGGAUGUGGAUAUCUUAGAGAAUUUUUAAUUGUAAAAUUGAAUUGAAAGAUAUCUAUUACAGAUCCUAAUUGAAGUAGCGAUUAUCCAGGUUAAUCUCCUGGGGGCUGAUGAGGAGUAGGGUUUCUGGGCAACUUAAACGGACCCAGAGUUAGUCGAUCCUAAUCAAAUUAAAUUUAGAGAAAGGGAAUAUGAAUGAUAUUUCAUAACUAAAAUUAAUUUUUAAAUGGUGACAUUUUUUUAAACUUAUUUCCAUCAAUUAAAUACUGUUUAAUAGGGAUUUCUUUCCUAUAUAACUUUUUAAUUAAAACUUAAGAAACAGGUUAACUGGAGAAUAAAGUUUUAAUUUAGUAAAAUUAUAAUUUCGAUUAUAAUAACGGCUAUUUAAAUGAUCCAUGAAACAAUAAGUUUAUUUUUUCAAAAAUUAAUUUAAUCGUACCGAUAACCGCAUCAGGUCUCCAAGGUGAGUAGCUUCUGGCCAUUGAGUAAUGGUAAUUUAGGGAAUUCGGCCAAUUAGAGCUGUAACUUCGGGAUAAAGCUUGGCUCUGAUGGAAAUCAGAACCGAUAGUUACAAGGAGAGCCCAACUGUUUAAUAAAAACUUAGUGUCGCGUCAUACCUUUAUAAGUAAUAAACGUGACAUGAAUCCUGCUCAGUGCUGUGUUUGUUAAACUGGAUUAAUCCAUUUAAGCGCCGGUAAAUAGCUGGGGUAACUAUGACUCUUAUCAAAGUAGCGAAAUACCUCGUCACUUAAUUAGUGACCUGCAUGAACGGAGCUAUGAGGUUCUCACUGUCCCAAAUUAUCACUCAGCGAACCAACAGUUGUGGGAACGGGCACAAAUUAUCCAGCGGGGAAAGAAGACCCUGUAGAGCUUCACUUUGGUCUAAUCUUGUAUAGUUUCGUUAGGGGUGCAGUCUAGGUGGGAGAUUUUUAAUCAAAUAUGAGAAACCACUACCCUUUCUGGAAUUAUACUUACUAAAAUUCUUUUAUAAAUUUUAGGAUCGGAUUAGAUAGAAAGUUUGGCUGGGGCGGCACACCUUCGAAAAAGCAGCGAAGGUGUCCUAAGUUAAGCUCAGUAAGGACAGAAAUCUUACGUUGAGGAUAAGGCCAAAAGCUUAAUUUACUGUGCCUUUUUGUACUAGGAUCAGUUUGGAAACAAAGGCCUAACGAUCCCUAAUUAGUCUUAGGUGUGUAAGACUUGGGGUGACAGACAAGUUACCUCCGGGACAACUGGCUUGUGGCUGCUAAGAGAUCAAAUCAACGCAGCUUUUUGAUUCUUCGAUGUCGG
rnacentral:rRNA from 1 species